UAAUUCUUAUGAAGGUCUGUUAAAAUAACCACUUUCUCCAUGCUUUUAUUUUGAUACUGUAUUUUGCCGUCAUGGGUCUUUUAUUUUGACGCAGGAAGUUUGAAUCUACAGUAGGUAACUUGACUUGAAGGAGAUCGCGCGAAAAGGUUAUUACGUGUAAUUACGGAAGGAAUUCAGGCUACAAACGGUUGCUCUGCAUAACAAUUUGUAGUAAUUAAUAAGUGCCUAGCUGGAAUGGGAACAAGGUAUUGUGUGUUUAAUUUGUUUAAGACUUUAUAUUACUUAAAAUGUGUUUAAAUGUGUUGUUGCUGUACAGCCGCGCUAAUGUUAUCUUCAUGGCGAUAGUUGUAUAUGUGUAAGAGCUAAUUAAUGUUAUUUAUCUGUCCUGUAGCUCUUACGGUGUUUAUGAAGAAAGAUGUGAAGAAAGGAAUAUUUAUGCUCAAAACAAGGCUGACGGCUGAACGUAAAUAAAGGCUUCUGAAACAUCUGUAAGCUUCACCAUUGUCCGGCUGGGGUUCGCUACAGUAAGAGCUUGACCCACAUCGAUUCGACGACUUUUUUGCCGCCAUGACGGGUCACGACGGAGGGUCUUCACUGCAUGCCUGCUGCUGUUGCUGCUACAUCGCCCCAUGCUGUUCACAUGGAGUCAUCGAGCAGCACAUGUUCCUGCAUGUCAACGCAUGAUCCACUACGGCAAUCCGGGCAGCGGUCUCGUGGAUUCGGUGCAUUGGUCAAGUACAGUCGCAUUCAUUGACGCAGAACUGAGCAUUACCCAAUAUCAUAUGGUCUACGGUACUUCCAAUGAGCUCUUACGGUGUUUAUGAAGAAAGAUGUGAAGAAAGGAAUAUUUAUGCUCAAAACAAGGCUGACGGCUGAACGUAAAUAAAGGCUUCUGAAACAUC